AACGAACGCUGGCGGCAUGCCUAACACAUGCAAGUCGAACGAGACCUUCGGGGCUAGUGGCGCACGGGUGCGUAACGCGUGGGAACCUGCCCUUAGGUUCGGAAUAACUCCCCGAAAGGGGUGCUAAUACCGAAUAAUGUCUUCGGACCAAAGAUUUAUCGCCUUUGGAUGGGCCCGCGUUGGAUUAGCUAGUUGGUAGGGUAAAAGCCUACCAAGGCGACGAUCCAUAGCUGGUCUGAGAGGAUGAUCAGCCACACUGGGACUGAGACACGGCCCAGACUCCUACGGGAGGCAGCAGUGGGGAAUAUUGGACAAUGGGCGAAAGCCUGAUCCAGCAAUGCCGCGUGAGUGAUGAAGGCCUUAGGGUUGUAAAGCUCUUUUACCCGGGAUGAUAAUGACAGUACCGGGAGAAUAAGCUCCGGCUAACUCCGUG
rnacentral:rRNA from 1 species